ACGAACGCUGGCGGCGUGCUUAACACAUGCAAGUCGAACGGAAAGGCCCCUUUGGGGGUACUCGAGUGGCGAACGGGUGAGUAACACGUGAGUAACCUGCCCUUGACUUCGGGAUAACUUCAGGAAACUGGGGCUAAUACCGGAUAGGAAUCCUUGCUGCAUGGUGGGGGUUGGAAAGCUUCGGCGGUUUUGGAUGGACUCGCGGCUUAUCAGCUUGUUGGUGGGGUAGUGGCUUACCAAGGCUUUGACGGGUAGCCGGCCUGAGAGGGCGACCGGCCACAUUGGGACUGAGAUACGGCCCAGCCUCCUACGGGGGGCAGCGGUGGGGAAUAUUGCACAAUGGGCGGCAGCCUGAUGCGGCAACACCGCGUGCGGGAUGACGGCCUUCGGGUUGUAAACCGCUUUCAGCAGGGGCGAAGCUUGUGGUGACGGUACCUGCAGAAGAAGCACCGGCUAACUACGUG
rnacentral:rRNA from 1 species